rnacentral:tRNA from 1 species
UGGCUUAGUGGGUAAAGAAUCUGCCUGCAAUGCAGGAAGACACAGGCAGAUGAGGGUUCGAUCCCUC